GAGGCGAGAAGAACCAAUGGAUUUAUGGUAUGAUUUGUUCCAGGUCCCAGAACCACAAGCAAAAGCAGAACCGACACGUAGGUCGAACAGGAAGAGAAAACCUACAGAAAUGAUGGAAAUUAACGCUAAGAGAAAAAGAUAUGCCAGUUUCUCACCGAGGAAAUAAAAUUGAUAAAUUUGGGUU